GGAAGGGGAUCACUGAUGGGGAGCUCGAUGUACUGGACACAUUUGAAGAAGAAGAGUAUGUGAGGGAAGUUGUUGGCAUCUCACUGACCGAUUCGCGGGAUACAGUGAUCGACUAUGCAUACAUAUGGGGGAAUGUAGAUGAUCCUGGCCUCUAUAGUGAAUGGGAUUUUGAUGUCGACGGCUCUGCCGACGUGAGGGAUCUCAGGUCGCCGUCGCCCUUUGGGAGCUCCCUCUCCUUCCUGCCUUCUUACCGUGGUGCCAGGGAUCAACGUCCAGACGCCAGCACGAUAGAGCUAUUGUGCUGCUGCCUCAGGUUGUCCAGGCGCGUCAUCGGUCCCAGCUACCCAUCAUCAAGAUCCGACGUCCUUUGUCCUUUUUUCCGAUUGAUGUUUACGUGGGUGUUGCUGGCUGCUUCCCUCUUGCCCCCUGGCCAGCAGGGUCCUCCAUGACCAGGGCCCCCAAGCUAAGGAGUAACAUGCUGCAGCUUCUGCCCACCACCAUGUAUGAGACAUCGAAAUCUAGGAAGCUGCAGAGAGGCUGGUGCCAAAUCUACAUCAGAACAACGUCAAGUUAACAAACAAGGAAGCUGGAGUUGUACUGUGACUAUUGUUAGAUCUGUUUUUGCACUUCUGAAUUUUACUUGAGAAUGAAUCUCGAAGGUACAACUCCUGCAGAGUGCUAGCGCCCACCUACAGAUGACAAGAUUUUCUUCUUCUGAAUGUAAUGAGGCAUGAUCCACAAACUCUUCAUAGAACUUUGAAGCAAAAUAUUGAUCCCCUGCAUGCAUAUAUGAUUGCGAACCAAUUAUUUUUCAAUCCGUUCCUUUUUACCAUAAUAUUUUUCUGGGUGAUGUAACAUAAGUAUAUUAUUGGUACAAUUAAGUGAUAUCAUUAGUACUUCCUCCGUCCAAGAAAGCUUGUCCCUCAAAUGGAUGUAUCUAGCACCAAGUUAGUGCUAGAU